GGCGGGAGCGGGGAACUUUCUAGAGAAGCGGUUAAACGGGUUGGGGAUCUUGGGCUGAGGGCACCCGAGGGGGUUCUUUUGGUAAGAUUUGUUUUUCUGGUUGAUGGCUCCUAGGGGCGGCCUCCUCUCCCACUCCAGGACUGUACAUUCUCGGAUUUCGAUGAUCACACCCUUCCCCGCGUCCUCCCUCCCCACCCCCACCCCGCCGGCGUCUAGCCGCUUUUUCCAGAUCCUUCUCCAUCCUCAGGACGCCCAAGCCCGGGCCUGCCUGGCGGCCCGCCCUGUUCACCCAGACCCACAGCGCAGUAGCUGAAUCCGGGCAGCCAGAUGAGAAGUGGCCUGGGUCUGCCUCCCGCGAUUAGACCUCAGACACCCGUGGCGUGGCCUUGGGGUCCUGGGCGUGGGCACCUAAGCCGUGUGGAGAAUAGAGGCCAUGGCAGUGAAAGCGUAGGCCCAGGAAGGAGCAGCUUCAGCCCUGGUGCACAAACCGUGGAACUCGACUUUGUCUUCCCUGCAGCCUGGCAGGCCCACCGAAUGAGUGUUGCUUUCCAAAAUUCUGUGAGCAGGAGAUCUUGUGAGGGAUGACCCUCUGAGCCAAAGAUUUGUGGACGGGAAAUAGAUGUUACCUUCUCAACCGCUCUUCCUAAGCGAUACCUGUGGAGCUCCAAGUCUGCGUGGUUAAAACCGAAAUAGUGCUGGCUUGAUCGGAAGAUCUGCCUGGAGAGGUCCUGAAUCUGCCCUGCAACUCUAGUACACGGUUAACACAUAGCGCCUGAAUGACAACAUGGAAGAGAGAAACCAUUAAGAACAACAGAAAAGGAUUCUUGAAAGAAACAGAAGUGGAAGCUAGAAAACCUGGAGCAGAUCUUUCUAGAAUGAAAACAAAAAUUCAAGAUGCUAAAGAUGAUGAAAAAAAGUCUUAAAAGAAGAAAAGGAAGUGAAAUGCAAACAGGGUCAGGUGGGAGACUUGGCCUGUCUGCACCGAAGGUUUUGUGGAUUUUCCAGGUUGGACGUCUUGCUUGUCUUUUCGGUUUCCAGUCAGCAUACAAAGCAAUGGGCUUCAUUAUGGCCUUUCAUAUACAGAUAUCACUCUCUUUUGUUCUCAUCUCCCACUGCUCUUGCCUCUCUCCCACUCUCCGCCCUCUUCCUUUUCCCAAAUGCUUUCCCUUUCUGUUCUCUUUUCCUGUGUGCACAUUUAGACUCCACACACAGAGAAGACGUAGUAUUUGUUCAAGUCUGGCUUAUUUUGCUUAGCAUAGUCUUUGGUUUUGUCACUCUUCCUGUAUGGCUGAGCAGCAGUCCAGCGUGUGCAUGUCACAUUUUGAAGCAUACUGUUGCUGGAGCCAUCGGCUGCUCCCCAGCUUAGGGGCUGUGAAAAGUGCAGCGGUGAGUGGAAGCCUUGAACCCCUGCCUUAGGUUGGGCACCAGGUCUUUUGUUUUGCUGCUUUAAAUGUCUUCAAAGCCUUUGUUUGCUGCUGGUACAGGAAAUACAUUUUAUAUGUUGGAGAGAUGUUUCAGCUCUUAAAGGCUAGGCUCAUAACCAAAAUAUCAAGCUGCUUUUUACUUGUUUUAUGUGCAAUUUUCAUAACAAAACUUACUGUAUAACCAUUAUCACAAUUUUUUUAUGUUUUGGAAGUGAGAUCUCACCAUGUAUCUCAGAGUGACCUCAGACUUAAAAAUCCUUAUGUCUCUGUCUUCCACAUGCUUGACUUAAAGGUCUGUGCUACUAUGCCUGGCCAUUUUUUUUUAACCAUUCCCAAGUACAACCACACUUUUUUUUUUUUAACACAAGAAUUUUCUAUAGCACAAACUUGCCUCGAAAUUUCUAAAUGUGGUCAAGGGUGACCUUGAACUUCUGAUUCCCCUGCUUCUACCUCCUAACUUCUGGGAUUACAGGUGUGUACCACCAUACCUGGCUUCUUAUUGUUUUGCCAUAGGGUCUUGUUGGUCUCAAACUCAUAGUCCCCCCCCCCCUUGCUCCCUGAAUGAUGAUAUUAUAAGCUCCCAUGACCACAAUUCUGUUUUAAGUAACAAGUUUGUGGUAAUUUGCUGUCUCUGUUGUAUGUACAGCAUCCAGGCAUUAGCAGAGGACAUGGACUGAGUUAGACUCUCAGUCAAUUUUGUUUAGUUCUACCAUAUUUGCAGUGAAAGGAAGAAGGGGUGUUGCAGGCGCUGGGAACAACAGAGAGCCACCCCAGGAUGUACCUGAGCAUCUGUGCACAUCAGAGGACGAGACUUAGGUGAAUAAAUUUGCUGUAGGAGUCGAAGGGGAGAGUCAUGAGGCGGCAUCUGGUAGAUGUUGGGAGCAGAGAAACUGGCCUCUGAGGCACGCAGGUUGUAUUAUCCCCUAUACUGAGUUCCCUGUGUAAGAGGUGCAACAUUCCAAGAUGGAUGAUGGGCCGUCUCUGUAUUUGUCUUGGGCACCUCAAUUGCAUAGGAGCUUUCACUGCCUCUGUGCCCUUGGUUCCUGUUAGGUCUCCAACUUGGGACAAAGGGCUAGCUGAGAUUUCUGUUAACAUAUCAGUGCAGACACUGGCAGCCAAGUUCUCCCAGCAUCCCUCAGUCCCUGCCUGUUAGGGGUCCUCGUUGCCAUACCCUGACCACUAUCCUGAACUCUCCAGCCCAGCUACUGUGCGAGGCUUCUCUGCUCCUAGCUCCUCUGGCCCCUAUAUAACUUGCCAGUUUUAGCAGCGUGUGUCUCUUGGCCAGUCUCUUGACCCAGGCUGCCCUUUUUGGUCAGAGGCUCCUCUCUUGAUCUCCCUCCUCUGUCCUCACUGGGCUGGCUCAGUCUGGCCUUUCUCUCUACCUGCUUUCUCCUUUCUAUCUAUAGUAAACCCUCAACCCCUUAGGAGCAGCCAUGUUCUCCUUUUAUUUUUUUUUUUCAUUCAGUUCACAAAUAAUGCCUCCAGUCCCAAACUGCUAUUGCCUGUGUUAGGUGUUAGGCAAGUGUCCAGACAAUUAGAUCUGCUUCUUCUCAACCAGUAGGAGGUAAAUGAGAUCACGUGACUUGCUGAAGGUGGGUAGAUCCUAAUUGGUAUCUGGAUUUCUGUCGAAAGCUAAAAACCCCCAGAACACCAGAGACAUGCUAUCCUAUCAGAAGGGGCUGAGUUUAAAUAGAAAAGAACUAGUGGUUAAGUUUAGGGUCUUAACAUAUAAGCACCAAUCACAGUGAACUGUGUCUGUCUUCUUAAAGCAGCGGAGAUGUAACAGUGAUGGCAGGGUACAGGGAGGAACUCGGGAGGAUCCACUGUCUGCUGUUUAGUGGAGCAGGGUCUUCCUUCAACGACAGAGCCAACUGACACCCUAAACCCAGGAACAUUGAGCUGACAAAACUGGGCCACCAACUAGUCAUCCCAACUUGUCUCCAACAGCUGCCCCAGCAACUAUACCACAAGCCAAGGGAGAACCCAGGCAUUUCUAAUGGCUCUCAGACUGCUACACAGAUGCUAUAUUUAGUGCAAAGGUGGAUAAUGGGCAAGCUGGAGGGUAGAGGAGGAUGGGGAAGAGUUGAUUCAAGAAGAACAGAGAAGCCGGGCGGUGGUGGCGCACGCCUUUAAUCCCAGCACUCGGGAGGCAGAGGCAGGCGGAUCUCUGAGUUCGAGACCAGCUUGGUCUACAAGAGCUAGUUCCAGGACAGGCUCCAAAACCACAGAGAAACCCUGUCUCGAAAAACCAAAAAAAAAAAAAAAAAAAAAA